CAGCAGCCGCGGUAAUACGUAGGGGGCAAGCGUUAUCCGGAUNUACUGGGUGUAAAGGGAGCGUAGACGGCUGUGCAAGUCUGAAGUGAAAGGCAUGGGCUCAACCUGUGGACUGCUUUGGAAACUGUGCAGCUAGAGUGUCGGAGAGGUAAGUGGAAUUCCUAGUGUAGCGGUGAAAUGCGUAGAUAUUAGGAGGAACACCAGUGGCGAAGGCGGCUUACUGGACGAUGACUGACGUUGAGGCUCGAAAGCGUGGGGAGCAAACAGGAUUAGAUACCCUGGUAGUCCACGCCGUAAACGAUGACUGCUAGGUGUCGGGUAGCAAAGCUAUUCGGUGCCGCAGCUAACGCAAUAAGCAGUCCACCUGGGGAGU
rnacentral:rRNA from 1 species